rnacentral:piRNA from 1 species
UGGGGUCGCUGGUCCAGUUUGAGAGAAU